rnacentral:lncRNA from 1 species
GGACGAUCCAAUUCUAUCGAGCCUUUUGCCGCCUACCGACAUACUCCUCGCUGCUCUACUAAUCGCAAAGGGCCUCCCAUGUGUCCGUCCGUAUCCAGUGAUCCCUGUAGGACUUCCAAUUUGAUGGUGAUUAGGAACCGAAAUGCUUGAUGGUGGACUGUCGUAGGCUGUGUAAUUCAUCUCGAAAUCUACGUAUGGCCACCUGCUCGAAGAUCG